CCUAAGGCCAUCAGAAAUAUGUGUUUUCUGAUGGUCUUUAGGCGACCCCUGUGAAAGGAUCGUUUGACCCCCGAAGGGGUCGCAACCCACAGGUUGAGAACCACUGAGCUAGAGGAAUGGGAUAGUAGUUGUAAAACCAUUGGCGGGGAAAUUUAUUAAGGUCCCUUUCUCCUUUCCUUUGCAGGUGUGAUACAGAUGACACUUGGUCUGUACCUCUCAAACGUUAUCCCUUUGACUUAUUGAAAACCAGGGAGUUUCUGGAGUAUGCAAGACUCAAAUUGCAAUUGUAUUAGGUCUUAUGGAAGGAGCCAUCCAUUCUGUCUCUCUCUCUCUCUGCAAUUUCUUCUUUCCAUUCUCCCUGAUGUGGGCGCUGAUUCCUUUUUAACAUUCCCAAGCUCAGACCAAAACAUGAC
rnacentral:lncRNA from 1 species